GAAAAGCCCGCUCGCCGGAAGACCAAGGGUUCCUGUCCAACGUUAAUCGGGGCAGGGUGAGUCGACCCCUAAGGCGAGGCCGAAAGGCGUAGUCGAUGGGAAACGGGUUAAUAUUCCCGUACUUGGUGUUACUGCGAAGGGGGGACGGAGAAGGCUAUGUUGGCCGGGCGACGGUUGUCCCGGUUUAAGCGUGUAGGUGUGUGUUCCAGGUAAAUCCGGUUCACUUUAACACUGAGGCGUGAUGAC
rnacentral:rRNA from 1 species